rnacentral:pre_miRNA from 1 species
UUAACUCAAAUUUGUAUGGAGUUGGAACGUUUGCCUACGUUUGCCUCUAGGGGCGCUGUUCGAAUGGCAUAGAAAUUUAAGUUA